rnacentral:rRNA from 1 species
GCUCAACCGGGGAGGGUCAUUGGAAACUGGGGAACUUGAGUGCAGAAGAGGAGAGUGGAAUUCCACGUGUAGCGGUGAAAUGCGUAGAGAUGUGGAGGAACACCAGUGGCGAAGGCGACUCUCUGGUCUGUAACUGACGCUGAGGCGCGAAAGCGUGGGGAGCGAACAGGAUUAGAUACCCUGGUAGUCCACGCCGUAAACGAUGAGUGCUAAGUGUUAGAGGGUUUCCGCCCUUUAGUGCUGCAGCAAACGCAUUAAGCACUCCGCCUGGGGAGUACGGUCGCAAGACUGAAACUCAAAGGAAUUGGCGGGGGCCCGCACAAGCGGUGGAGCAUGUGGUUUAAUUCGAAGCAACGCGAAGAACCUUACCAGGUCUUGACAUCCUCUGACAACCCUAGAGAUAGGGCUUCCCCUUCGGGGGGCAGAGUGACAGGUGGUGCAUGGUUGUCGUCAGCUCGUGUCGUGAGAUGUUGGGUUAAGUCCCGCAACGAGCGCAACCCUUGAUCUUAGUUGCCAGCAUUCAGUUGGGCACUCUAAGGUGACUGCCGGUGACAAACCGGAGGAAGGUGGGGAUGACGUCAAAUCAUCAUGCCCCUUAUGACCUGGGCUACACACGUGCUACAAUGGGCAGAACAAAG